rnacentral:SRP_RNA from 1 species
GCAGGGUGUGGUAGUGCACACCUGUAGUCCCAUCUACUUGAGAAGCUGAGGCAGGAGGAUUGCUUGAGCCCAGGAGUUCAAGGCUACAGUGAGCUAUGAUCAUGCCACUGCACUCUGGCCUGGGCAACACAGCAAGACCCUGUCUCUA